UGGGGAAUAUUGCACAAUGGGCGCAAGCCUGAUGCAGCCAUGCCGCGUGUGUGAAGAAGGCCUUCGGGUUGUAAAGCACUUUCAGCGGGGAGGAAGGCGUUAAGGUUAAUAACCUUGGCGAUUGACGUUACCCGCAGAAGAAGCACCGGCUAACUCCGUGCCAGCAGCCGCGGUAAUACGGAGGGUGCAAGCGUUAAUCGGAAUUACUGGGCGUAAAGCGCACGCAGGCGGUCUAUCAAGUCGGAUGUGAAAUCCCCGGGCUCAACCUGGGAACUGCAUUCGAAACUGGCAGGCUAGAGUCUUGUAGAGGGGGGUAGAAUUCCAGGUGUAGCGGUGAAAUGCGUAGAGAUCUGGAGGAAUACCGGUGGCGAAGGCGGCCCCCUGGACAAAGACUGACGCUCAGGUGCGAAAGCGUGGGGAGCAAACAGG
rnacentral:rRNA from 1 species